UCUUCGUUAGUACAGGGGUUAGUAUAUCCGCCUUUCACUGGCACUGCCGGUUGGAAUUCACGCGGGCGACCCGGGUUCGAUUCCCGGACGGAGAA
rnacentral:tRNA from 1 species